rnacentral:rRNA from 1 species
GACGAACGCUGGCGGCGUGCUUAACACAUGCAAGUCGAACGAAGUGGCGAACGGGUGAGUAACGCGUACUCAACCUGCCCUUCCGAGGGGGACAACAGUUGGAAACGACUGCUAAUACCGAAUACUGAGGGAGGGCAUUGCGUUUGAUUAGCUAGUGGGUGGGGUAACGGCCCACCAAGGCGAUGAUCAGUAGCCGGUCUGAGAGGAUGAACGGCCACAUUGGGACUGAGACACGGCCCAGACUCCUACGGGAGGCAGCAGUGGGGAAUCUUCCGCAAUGGAGGAAAGUCUGACGGAGCAACGCCGCGUGAGUGAUGACGGCCUUCGGGUUGUAAAGCUCUGUUAAUCAGGACGCGGUACCGGAAUAGAAAGCCACGGCUAACUACGUGCCAGCAGCCGCGGUAAUUC